rnacentral:ncRNA from 2 species
ACAGUGUCGCGAUAGUAAUUCAACCUAGUACGAGAGGAACCGUUGAUUCACACAAUUGGUCAUCGCUCUUGGUUGAAAAGCCAACGGUGCGAAGCUACCGUGUGCCGGAUUAUGACUAAAUGUCAAGUCAGAAUCCAAGCUAGCAUGCGACACCCGCGCCCGCCACCCGCCCCGACCCACGUUAGGGGAACUUGCGCCCCCAAGGGCCCGUUCCAUUGGCUAAGCCGAUCCGGCCGACAUGUCGUGGACGGCCGCCUCGAAGCUCCCUUCCCAACGGGUGGUGGGAUGAAUCCAUUGCAGACGACUUAAAGACGUGAUGCGGCAUUGUAAGUGGCAGAGUGGCCUUGCUUCCACGAUCCACUAAGAUCCAGCCCCAUGUCGCAUGGAUUC